GGGCAGCUCCUCUGGAACGGCAGGCUGUUCCCUCCAGGUUUUUUACUGAUUUUGUAGGUCCAGCCCACCACCUUGUUCUGUCCAGAGCAUAGCAAACCAAUACUCUGAAAACGAGGACAGCCCUUCUGCAAUAGUUAAAUACUUUCUCCAAUAUUAUCAUUGGAGAUAAAGUCUUCAAAUGAAUGCUGGUACGUUUUUGUCCUGCUCAGUUUCAAGGAAGGAAACAUCUUUCCCACACUCCGGAAAACCAGGAUCCAAGUUUAACUCAGACCCAAUCAGGACAUGAUUUCUGCCACUUCACUGGGCAGAAUAAGGCUCAGCAGCACAGACUGCUACAGCCAGGUCAUACUUGAAAGAGGAGGAAGGACGAGCCGGAGGCCCCUGGAUUAGAGGCGACUGAAGAGCAGGACGCCUUCUUUGUGCCAUCAAAAAAGCUGACCUUUUGGCAGAAUUUCCAUGUUUUCAUAAGCGAUUUCACACUGAAAAAUUCCAACAUUGAGCAAAAAAUCAUGGCUGGAAGCUGCUUG